rnacentral:rRNA from 1 species
AGAGUUUGAUCCUGGCUCAGAACGAACGCUGGCGGCGUGGAUUAGGCAUGCAAGUCGAACGGGAUCCCCAUUUUAAAAUGCUUUCGGGUAUUUUAUCGGGGUGAGAGUGGCACAAGGGUGAGUAACGCGUGAGUAAUUUACCCUCAAGCUCAGGAUAACUCGCCGAAAGGUGGGCUAAUACUGGAUAAGACCACGAACGGACAUCCGUACGUGGUAAAAGAUGGCUGAGUUCUUUGAACGCUAUCACUUGUGGAUGAGCUCGCGUCCUAUCAGCUUGUUGGUAGGGUAAAGGCCUACCAAGGCAUUUGACGGGUAGCUGGUCUGAGAGGAUGGUCAGCCACACUGGGACUGAGACACUGCCCAGACUCCUACGGGAGGCUGCAGUCGAGAAUCUUUGGCAAUGGACGAAAGUCUGACCAUGCGACGCCGCGUGCAGGAUGAAGGUCUUCGGAUUGUAAACUGCUGUCACGAGGGAAGAACAGCCCUAACUCGAAUAGUUUUAGGGUUUGACGGUACCUCGAGAGGAAGCCACGGCCAACUCCGUGCCAGCAGCCGCGGUAAUACGGAGGUGGCGAGCGUUGUUCGGAAUUACUGGGUGUAAAGAGCGUGUAGGCGUUUUAAUAAGUCAGGGGUGAAAUUCCAAGGCUCAACCUUGGAACUGCCUCUGAAACUGCUAGAAUUGAGUUCGGAAGGGGAAAGCGGAAUUUCCGGUGUAAGGGUGAAAUCUGUAGAUAUCGGAAAGAACACCAGUGGCGAAGGCGGCUUUCUGGUCCGAAACUGACGCUGAGACGCGAAAGCUAGGGGAGCGAACAGGAUUAGAUACCCUGGUAGUCCUAGCCGUAAACGAUGGGCACUAGGUGUCGGCUUGUUAUGAGUCGGUGCUGCAGUUAACACAUUAAGUGCCCCACCUGGGGAGUACGUCGGCAACGAUGAAACUCAAAGGAAUUGACGGGGGCCCGCACAAGCGGUGGAGCAUGUGGUUUAAUUCGAUGAUACGCGAAGAACCUUACCAGGGCUUGACAUGUAUUUGACAGCCUGUGAAAGCAGGUUUUCCUUCGGGACAGAUACACAGGUGUUGCAUGGCUGUCGUCAGCUCGUGUCGUGAGAUGUUGGGUUAAGUCCCGCAACGAGCGCAACCCUUGUCCUUAGUUGCCAUCAGGUCAUGCUGGGAACUCUAAGGAGACUGCCAGUGAUAAACUGGAGGAAGGUGAGGACGACGUCAAGUCAGUACGGCCCUUACGCCCUGGGCGACACACGUGCUACAAUGGCCGAUACAAAGGGCAGCAAUCCCGCAAGGUGGAGCGAAUCCCAAAAAGUCGGCCCCAGUUCGGAUUGAAGGCUGCAAUUCGCCUUCAUGAAGUCGGAAUCGCUAGUAAUGGCAGGUCAGCCAUACUGCCGUGAAUACGUUCCCGGGCCUUGUACACACCGCCCGUCAAGUCAUCCGAGUCGGAUGCACCCGAAGCCGUUGACCCAACCCUUUUGGGAGGGAGACGUCGAAGGUGUGUUCGGUAAGGGGGACUAAGUCGUAACAAGGUAACC